CCUUUAUUAUGUUGAGGUAGGUUCCCAUUAUGCCCACUUUCUGAAGGAUUUUUAUCAGAAAUGGGUGUUGGAUUUUGUCAAAGGCUUUUUCUGUAUCUAUUGAGAGGAUCAUAUGUUUUUUAUUCUUCAGUUUGUUAAUGUGGUGUAUCACACUGAUGGAUUUGUGGAUAUUGAAGAACCCUUGCAUCCUUGGGAUAAAUCCCACUUGAUCAUGAUGUACAAUCCUUUUCGUGUAUUGUUGGAUGCGAUUUGCUAGCAUUUUGUUGAGGAUUUUUGCAUAAAUGUUCAUCAGUGACAUUGGCCUGUACGUUUCUUUUUUUUGUGAAGUCUUUGUCUGGUUUUGGUACCAGGGUGAUGGUGGCCUCAUAGAAUGAGUUUGGGAGUAUCCCUUCUUCUGCAAUUUUAUAAAAUAGUUUCAGAGGAUAGGUGUACUUCUCUAAAUGUUCAGUAGAAUUCGCCUGUGGAGCCAUCUGGUCCUGGACUUUUGUUUGUCGGAAGUUUUUUCAUCACAGUUUCAAUUUCAGUUCUUGUGAUGGGUCCAUUCAUCUUUUCUAUUUCAUCUUGGUUUAGUCUUGGGAGAUUGUACUUUUCUAAGAAUUUUCCCAUUUCUUCUAGGUUGUCUGUUUUAUUGGUGUAUAGUUGCAUGUAUUUUAUCUCUUAAGAUCGUUUGUAUUUCUGUGAUGUCUAUUGUUACCUCUCCUUUUUCAUUUCUAAUUUUAUUGAUUUGAGACCUCUCUCUUUUUUACUUGAUAAGUCUGGCUAAGAGUUUAUCAAGGUUCAUCUUUUCAAAGAACCAGGUUUUCGUUUCAUUGAUCUUUUAUAUGGUUUUCUUUGUUUCUACUUCAUUGAUUUAUGCUCUGAUCUUUAUGAUGUCUUUCCUUCUAGUAGCUUUAGGUCUUGUCUGUUCUUCUCUCUUGAGCUGCUUUAGAUGUAGAGUUAGCUUGUUUAUUUGAGCUUUUUCUUGUUUCCUGAGGUGGGCUUGUAUUGCUAUAAACUUUCCUCUCAGAAUGGCUUUUGCUGCAUCCCAUAGGUUUUGGAGUGUCGUAUCUUCGUUGUCAUUUGCUGCUAGGUAUUUUUUAAUUUCCUCUUUGAUUUCUUCAUGAUCCAUUGGAUGUUGAGUAAUAUGUUGUUGAGUCUCCACGUGUUUGUGUUUUUUGCAUAUUUUUUCUUGUUGUUGACUUCCAGUCAUAUAGCAUUGUGGAUGGAAAAGAUGCUUGAUAUGAUUUCAAUUUUCUUAACGUUACUUAUGUUGGAUUUGUAGCCCAGGAUGUGAUCAAUCUUAGAGAAUGUUCCAUGUGCACUUGAGAAGAAUGUGUAUUCUGUUGCUUUUGGAUGGAAUGCUCUAUGAAUCUCUAUUAAGUCCAUAUGGUUUAAUGCUUCAUUCAGGGCCUGUGUUUCCUUAUUGAUUUUCUGUCUGGAUGAUCUGUCCAUUGGUGUAAGUGGGGUGUUAAAAUCCCCCACUAUGAUUGUGUUAUAUUUGAUUUGUCCUUUUAAGGUUGUUAGCAGUUGCCUUAUAUAUUGUCGUGAACCUAUGUUGGGUGCAUAGAUAUUUGAAGUUGUUUUGUCUUCUCCUUGGAUUGAUUCUUUGAUCAUUAUGUAGUGACCUUCUUAGUCCCUUAAAAUAUUCUUCACGUUAAAGUCUAUUUUGUCUGAUGCGAGUAUUGCUACUCCAGCUUUCUUUUGAUCCCCAUUUGCAUGAGAUACUUUCUUCCAUCCUCUUACUUUCAAUUUGUGUGUCCCCCUAGAAGUGAAGUGGGUCUCUUGAGGACAGCAAAUAUAUGGGUCUUGUUUUUAUAUGCACUUAGCCAAUCUAUGUUUUUUGGUUGGGGUGUUUAGUCCAUGAACUUUUAAGGUAAUUAUUGGUAUGUAUGUUCUUAUUGCCAUUUUAUUAAUUGCUUUGGAUUUGUUUUUGUUGCUCUUUUUCCUUUCCUUCUUUUCUUGUUCUCUCCUCUUGUGGUUUGAUGACUAUCUUUAGUGUUGUAUUUGAGUUGAUUUUUCUUUUUUUUUGUAUCAAUUGUAGAUUUUUGGUUUGCAUUUACUCUGAAGUUUUGAUAUAAGAGUGUAUAUGUAUAUGAGAUUGUUUUAAGUUGUUUGUCUCUUAAUUGCAAGUGCAUCUCCAGUGUCCUGCAUUUGUACCCUCUUCUUCCCAUGAUUUCUGAUUUUGGUGGCAUAAUUGUGCAUGGAUGAUUUCAUAUCUUUACUGUAUAUAUACCUUUACUGGUGAGCCUUGUCAUUUGUGGUAUUUUUGUUUCUGGUUGUGGCCUUUUCUUUUCUGCCUGGAGUAAUUCCUUUAGUAUUUGUUGUAAAGCUGGUUUAGUGUUGUUGCAUUCUCUUAGCUUUGGCUUAUCUGUGAAGCUUUUGAUUUCUCCUUCACAUCUGAAUGAGAGCCUUGCUGGGUAAAGUAAUCUUGGCUGGAGGUUUUUUCUUUUCAUCACAUUAACAAUAUCAUGCCACUCCCUUCUGGCCUGCAGUUUCUGCCGAAAAAUCUGCUGAUUACCUCAUCAGGUUUCCCUUGUAUGUUUUUGUUUCUUUUCCCUAGCUGCUUUCAAGAUUUUCUCUUUGUCUUUAAUUUUGGUCAGUUUGAUUAAUAAGUGUCCUGGGGUGUUCCUCCUUGGGUUUAUUUUAUAUGGUACUCAUUGAGCUUCCUGGAUUUGAGUGAGUGGUUCCUUUCCCAUGUUGGGAAAUUUUUGACUAUUAUUUCUUUGAAUAUUUUUUCUGUCCCUUUCUCUCUCUCUUCUCCUUCUUGCACCCCUGUAAUACGGAUGUUGGUGCAUUUAACAUUGUCCCAGAGUUCUCUGAGACUGUCUUUAUUUGUUUUCAAUCUUUUAUCUCUUUUCUGUUCCACAUCCAUAAUUUCUACUAAUCUCUCCUCCAUCUCGCUUAUUCGUUCUUCUGCCUCCUGUAUUCUGCUGUUAGCUGCUUCUAGUGAAUGUUUUAUUUCAAUGAUUGUAUUUCAUAUCUCUUCUUGUUUGUUUUAUAUCUUGUAUCUCUUUGGUCAGUGUUUCCUGUAAGUUAUCCACCUUUGCUUCCAGUUUAUUUCCAAUGUCUUGCAUCAUCUUCAGCAUCAACAAUCUAAAGUCUUGGAGUUCCCAUCGUGGCACAGCGGAAAUGAGUCUGACUAGGAACUGUGAGGGUUUGAAGGUUCGAUCCCUGGCCUCGCUCAGUGGGUUAAGGAUCUGGCGAUGUGGUGAGCUGUGGUGUAGGUCACAGACGGGGCUUGGAUCUGGCAUGUCUG
rnacentral:lncRNA from 1 species